CAAUACGGGAGUGGCAGACGGGUGAGUAACACGUGGGAACAUACCCUUCGGUACGGAACAACUCGGGGAAACGCGAGCUAAUACCGUAUACGCCUUUGCGGGGAAAGAUUUAUCGCCGAAGGAUUGGCCCGCGUCCGAUUAGCUAGUUGGUGAGGUAAUGGCUCACCAAGGCGACGAUCGGUAGCUGGUCUGAGAGGAUGGCCAGCCACAUUGGGACUGAGACACGGCCCAA
rnacentral:rRNA from 1 species